GACGAACGCUGGCGGCGUGCCUAAUACAUGCAAGUCGAGCGCAGGAAAUCGACGGAACCCUUCGGGGGGAAGUCGACGGAAUGAGCGGCGGACGGGUGAGUAACACGUAAAGAACCUGCCCUCAGGUCUGGGAUAACCACGAGAAAUCGGGGCUAAUACCGGAUGGGUCAUCGGACCGCAUGGUCCGAGGAUGAAAGGCGCUCCGGCGUCGCCUGGGGAUGGCUUUGCGGUGCAUUAGCUAGUUGGUGGGGUAAUGGCCCACCAAGGCGACGAUUCAUAGCCGACCUGAGAGGGUGAUCGGCCACACUGGGUCUGAGACACGGCCCAGACUCCUACGGGAGGCAGCAGUAGGGAAUCUUCCACAAUGGACGAAAGUCUGAUGGAGCAGCGCCGCGUGAACGAUGAAGGCCUUCGGGUCGUAAAGUUCUGUUGUAAGGGAAGAACAAGUGCCGCAGGCAAUGGCGGCACCUUGACGGUACCUUGCGAGAAAGCCACGGCUAACUACGUGCCAGCCGCCGCAGUAAAAC
rnacentral:rRNA from 1 species